AUACGAGGGUAUUGCCUCAGUAACGGCGAGUGAAGCGGCAAAAGCUCAAAUUUGAAAUCCCCCGGGAAUUGUAAUUUGAUGGUGGGUCGAUGGGAGUUUAGGAAAGUUUACUGGAAAGUAACGCUAUAAAGGGUGACAGCCCCGUUCCUUUUUCCCCCCCGACCCUCCUAAGAGUCGAGUUGUUUGGGAAUGCAGCUCUAAUGGUGGUAAAAUCCAUCAAAAGCUAAAUAUCAGCGAGAGACCGAUAGCGAACAAGUACAGUGAUGGAAAGAUGAAAAGCACUUUGAAAAGAGAGUGAAAAAGUACGUGAAAUUGUUGGAAGGGAAGGGAUUAUUGGGUAGCGAGGUGCCAGGUGGGGAAGAAAGAAAAAUCGGAAGGAAUGUGGCUCCUCGGAGUGUUAUAUCCUACCGCCAAAUUUCUAUUCCCGCAUAAGGCCCGCUUUAUAGGGCCCCACCAGAAGCUCAAGAAUUCACCCGUCUUG
rnacentral:rRNA from 2 species